CCGCCGGAUGGUUUUCAGAGAAACACAAACAUCCGUUUGAUCCACUGGCGGAGACUGUUAAACGCGGCUUAAAAUAGUUAAAUACAUCAAUUUUUAUUCCGUAAAGACGGGUUUUUUUUAACGGAGAGAGCCCGGUCUGUCAUCCCGCUCAGCUGUCACUAAGUCGGCGGUUUGUCUGCAUCCGGAAGUCUUCAGUUUUUGUAGUUCAGCUAAUAGCAUGGAUGCUAGCUGGGAAACCAUCGCUGACAGCGAGGAGGACGAGGAGCUGGGGCACUGGACCAAGGACGACCUGGACCUGGACCUGGUCCGGAAACUGGAACUGGACCAGGACCUGGACCGGGACCUGGUUCGGAAACUGGCUGGAAUGACGGUCGAAGACCCCCUCCAGAAGGUCCAGGCCGUGCAGACGGACCGCACCACCACCGAGUCCACCGUCAACACAGAGCCCGGCUGGGAGAGCCGGGCGGCCGACGUGUUCCUGAGCCACUGCCGGCUGAGGGAGCAGUACGAGGAGCUGCAGAAGGAGCGGCGCGAGGAGAAGGAGGCGCAGGAGAGGCGCAGAGCGCAUCUGAAGAGGAGGAAGGAGGAGGGCGUCCAUCAGCACCAGGCUCUGCUGGAGAAGCUGGAGUCGCUGCGGGUGAAGCUGCAGCUCAACAACUCCAAGGCCACCAGGAAGAACUUCGAGAGCAAGAAACGGGAGCUGAUGGCAGAGAGGAGCAGAGCAGAGGAGGAGAGGAACAGACUGGCCCGGGAGCUGGAGGAGAGCGAGCAGAAGCUGGCGACGCUGAGCGAGGAUGAGAGCGAGGAGCGGCGCAGGUGGAGGGAGGAGCUGGAGCAGCUGAGGGCGGAGGCGGAGCGGCUGAAGGAGGAGGCGCAGACGGCCCAGCUGAAGGCCUUAGGGGACGAGAUGGCGGCCGUGGAGAAGCAGCGAGACGUGGCCGUGUCCCGGAUCGAGGCGUGGCUCCAAGAGGUGGCGCAGUACCUGAACGUCCUGCGGGUCGAGUUCCCCCAGCAGUACCACCACGAUCGGGGGAAGUGGGAGAAGAAGGAGGUUCUGGUGCGGAAGAGCCAGGCGGAGCUGCAGAGCCGCUUCCAGGAGGUUCUGCAGCAGCUGCAGCAGGGCCAGGAGCUGGAGGCGCUGCCCAGGAUCAACGUGCCGUCGCUGCCUCAGGUCCCCAUGGCCGACCUCAGGUUCAAGCAGGCGAUGCAGGCGCUGGUCCAGCCCAGGAUGAUGCCGCCCCCGACCCCCCCACAUCCCCACUACCCCCCACAUAGAGACCCACAUUACUACAACACGCGCCACAGGCACCCCCACCCUCGCCUCCCCAUGUACCGCUUCCACCCGCCGCCCCACUGCCCUCCACCUUACGUCGAGACGAUGCCGCAGCAUCAGUACCACACCAGAGCCCCGCCCCCCAGCCUGUCCCCGUCUCCCCCCGUGGUUCCCUCGCCCCCGCCCCCGGCCGCCGCCCCGCCGGCCUCGACCGAGGUUCUGGAGAAGCUCCUGGAGAAGCUGGGCUCCAGGUUCCCGCAGUGCAGCAAGCAGCAGCUGAUGGUGCUGCUGCAGCAGGUGAAGAGCUCCCGCGGCAAGCUGGCCGGCAUCACCAUGGAGGACCUGGUGGAGCAGAUCGCCUUCAAGCUGAGCCAGAGCGAGCGCUCCGCCCCGGGGCCCAUCGGCCGGCCCGCUCCGGGGCCCAUCCAGAGGCCCGGGCUUCCCCCGCAGAGAGACGCUGCCCACUCCGCCGCCGCCGCACCUUCUCCCCCCGCCGGGCCCCGAAAACUCUGCCUCAUGUGCCAGAACCACGUGGAGCCGGAGCACCGGCACCCGCUGGCCUGCUCCCACACCAUCCACCGGGACUGCAUCCAGAUGUGGCUGCAGUCCAGCCAGAACAACUCCUGCCCCUUCUGUCCGGGCCAGUGAUUGGUCGGUUCUGUCCCCCCGGGUCAGUGAUUGGUCGGUUCUGUCCCCCCGGGCCCCAUUUCAACUGGUCUUGGUUCCUGUUUUCUGCUCUAGGUUCUCGAUUUAAACGGAGGAACCGA